rnacentral:misc_RNA from 1 species
GACAGAUUGGAAUAAAGAGGUAAAUUUAUUAAAUAAUUGUUUAUCUUAAUUAUUAAAUACAAAAGGUAACAAAAUUUUCUUUUAUUGCAUUACAUUUUUUUUUAUACAAAUAAUUCGAUAUGUCUUAACCAAAUUAGGUUUACCAAUGGCCUUUCAAGUAUAGCCCUGUUUCCUCUUCUCUUACUAAGCUACUUUAGGCUAUGAUUGUUUGAAGAUAAAGGAGAUUGAAUGAAAUUUAUAGGGAUAAUCUCAAAAAAAGUAUCUUGUGGUCACUAAAUAGGUACCCAUUAAUUCCGAGCCCUUCCUUUGUCUCUUAUCUCGUCUAAUACCGUUCAUCAUUCAUAAUUAAAUUAAGUGGAUGUCAUAUUAACAUAUUGUUAAUGAGAGAAGGCACAGAGUAAUUGCGUGAAAUCAUACUUAUUUUAUGAAAAUAAAUUUUUAAUCCUUUAAAUGAUAAAAUGCAAAAUCAUAACAUACUUUUUAUUAUUUUUUUUUAAUUACUCAAAAGUUUAUAUAGAUAUCUUAUAUGCAAGUUAGAUGUAUACAACCCAUAUUAUUGACUAAAUGCAUUUCUCUUCCCUUCCACUUUCUAAUGAACAUAGUGUCAAGGAACUUUUAUCAGAGAGAAAAUGGCUGAUUUGGAUCACAAUUUGAAAGAUACUAGCACAACUGCUCAGCCUAACAUUAUUGUUCAUUGCCUUGCUGAUUACACUCAUGAAAAUAUAAUGUUCCAUGAAUUCAAAAAUUUUGGGCUAUUAUGGGUAAAAAGAAAAGGGUCUAUUUCUGAUUAACUAAAGUGCUUGUUAACCAUUGAUAAAAUAUUUUUUUGUUUCUGUGUCAUUUCCUUGUCCUGGUUUUAGCCUGUUGGUAAACUUUAGAUAUCUCCUUAGGCUGAAGCUUUAGGAGUUGAUUUUCAGUUCAUCAUCAGGGACCAUGGCUAGUAGACCUUGGCUAUGUGAAAUUGACCCUAGCUAAUAGAAAUGGCACUUGGGUUAAGUGUAAAAUUUUGGAUUCUUUCAGGUGGAGGUUGCAAGGACCCGCUUGCAAAUAUGGGACGAUGUCACAGAGCCACUUGUGAAGGAACGGAGGUGAAGGAGCAUUAGCUGAAGAAGAUGCCAAUACAUAGAUUUCCAAUUUCAAUAUCCAACAAUAUAAAUACCAAUGCUUAUAAAAAAAAUAAAUAAAUAAAAACCAAUGUACAAAGAAAAUCACGCUGCUUGCUUCCUCCUGAACCACAUCAUAUGCAAUUUUGAAGAAUUAGUACUUUUUUUUUGUUUGUUUGUUCACAUAUAUGCGUGUAAUUUCCUUGUUUCUUCAAGGGAGU